UUCAGUUGUUUGUAAAAGAGAUUCCCAGCUAUGGCUGGGGUUUUCAAAGGAGCCUGCUCUGGGCUGUCAGUGAUGUUUGGAAUAUUAAUUCCUGCAGCAGUUAACUCGGGAACCAUUGGGUUGUUUUGCUGUACAAACCCCCCUUUGCCAGGGAGCCUAAGAAGGAAAAAGGAACAUCAGUGCCAUGGAAUAUUUCAUAUUCCUGCCUGGCAGCCCUAGGGCUGAGGAGAGGUGAUGAUUUUGUGCUUUGUGCUCUGCGCUGAGCACGGAAGGACCUUGGCCCAGAAGGGCUGGCGUUCCUGGAGCCAAGGCUGCAGUGGAAUUUGGACACUGCAGUCCAAGAAUGAGCUUCUCCAAGCCCUGCCUCGUCAGUGAGGUGCCAGACACAGCUGGGGUGAGUGCCAGCCCUUGCUCAGAAGCACUGCUGGUUCCUCCUCGGGAGAAGAUCCCAUGGGAUCACGGAUACCCCUAUGGAACAGCCACGCUGUGAGCAGAGGGGUGGGAAUGUGAUGGCAGAGGCAGAACACAUCUUAAAUCUGGAGGUUUUCUUCAGAUCUGAGCGGCCUCUUCUAAAUCCUGUGGAAAAAAUGAUCCCUGGGCUUGUUUCCGUGCUGGGAGCUGCCCUGGGAAGGAGCAAUCCUGGUUUGCUCUGGUUUGCUGGAGGUUUUUGGAGCUGGCACUGGCAAAUCCAGCAGGUCAGCAGUGCCCUAGCAAGUGCCCUCUGCUGGGAUUGCCUCUCUGGGACAACAGCAGUGACAGCAGGGAAGGGAAUGUGCUGGCCAAGGGCACAGGGCAGAGGGAAUCCUUCCACCCACCUUCACCUGCCUCUGGAGCAGCUCCAUGGAGAAAGGGAACAGCCCCAAAACUGCCAAGUCAGCACUUUUCACAGGUGGGAAAAAAAAAAUCCACUUUGCAGGAAAAACUGUGCAAGAUCCUGACAAAACUGGUGGUCUUUCCUUAAAUCCAGUUGAACCAUCAGACUGCCAGGGAUUUCCAGUUGGGCUAACACUGGUGGAUUUUUCCAAUUUUAAGACUCUUCCAUUGCACUGAGGUAAUGAAAUUGGGCAGACACCCCGAGAUGGGCUGGCACCAGCAGCAGGAAACUGGGAAUGCAGUCAGAGAGUUUAAUAUCCUUCUUUUCACUUCUCCAACAUUCUGUCACUUCCACAAAAUUGCUCCUAAUAUCCAUUCUCUUGGCAUAAUUAGUGCAAAUCGCAUGCAGGAUUAAAGGUUGAGUAAUUAACAUGAUCUAAUUGCUGCAAAAUAAUAAUAAAAACCUCCUUAAUCAUUUAUUUCUAUUGCAGCUGAGCCAAGAAAAUCUCCAUAAACAAGGCAAAAAACCUCAGCCAGGGAACCUGGAAAACAGGAAGGGGAUGGAUUUUUUUCACUCUGAACAUGGAGAAAUCAGGCACAGCACGUUGGGUGACAGUUCCUAUGGAAACCUUUUAUAACUGAGCAGCAGAACAUUUGAAAGCCUCAUAAAAUUUUUUGGGAAUGUUUCUCUUGCAUUACCUUCUUUAGGCCAGUUUUCCAUAUUGAACAAGUUUUUUUUGUGUGUGUAACAAGUUUUUAAGGACAAAAUAUUAUGGGCAUGCUGGAAAUGGCAGGUUCUGCUGGCAGGGAGAAAUCAUGGGCUGGUUUAUCUUCUCCAAACAAAUUGCUGGUCCCAUGCCUGCUCCCUCCCAGUCCAUCCCAGCUCCUCAGUUAAUCACAGCAAUUUUCUUCCAGGUUUACAAUUAGCCAGAUCCCAGGAGCAGCUAUGGACAUGUAUGGAUUCACCCUAUGGAAUGCUUUCACCCCCAGAAUUAGGAUUUCCCCUUUUUUUUGGUGGGAAAUGAUUUUGUAAUUCCCUGUGAAUUGUCACUAUCAGUUUCCAGUUCCUAGAAAAUUGGUGCUUUUAGGGAAUCUGAGACUGAUUUAUUUGGAAUUCCCAUUUGCAGCACAUUCAUGGGCUGGCCAGUAAAAAUAUUCCUGGUAAGAAUGUGGGGCUGGACCUUCUUUUGCUGGGAAUCCAAGGAACAUUUGGAUGUUUUUUAAUACUAAAAUUGCCAAAAUGCACUUGGUUCCAAUAACUAAUGACCAAAUUCGAAGCUGAAUGAGGAAAAAGAAAGCCUGUGUGUGAAGAAUGGUGAUUUAAAUCAGGGCAUUGAUUCAGGAGAAAGUAUUGCAGAGAUUCCCCUGUGAAUAUCUGGGCCAUUUAUUGAAAAUUGUAUUUGUUUGAUCUCAUUUUCCUUUGUUCUCAGUUAUUAUUCAAGAACUUGGCUUUGCUUUGUGGUGUUUAAUAUUUACUACUUUUUUUUUUUUUUUUUUUUUUUGUGCCUUUAAAGACAACCACACAGAUCUGCUAAUGAUGCAUGGGGUAACAAAGGUUUGAAAUUCUGUUGCAGAGACCACAGGUCCCAAAAUAGCCCGUGACAGCAGAGCCCAGUAACGAUUUCCUUGCAGGAGUUACUCACUCUGGAAGUUACAGCCCUGAACUCUCCCACCUUUUCACUGUUCAUUUGCAGGCCACUGAGUUAAAGAGUGGAAGCAAGGAGAAACUGCUCAGCAGGCUGAUCCUGAUAGAAUCCAUCAUCCCCAAACUCAGGAGCAGCAAAUUCACAGGCAGCAGGUUCCACUUGGAAUGUUUGGCAGAGACCUUUUGUGCCUGGAUGGAAGAGGUUGGGCAUGUCAUGGAAUGGUGCACUGAGAAUGCCAAAAUAUUGGAAUUUGUAGGGAAAAAAGGGAUAAAGGAACUCCUUUUGGCACCUCUGGUGUUUUUUGGAUGCAGUGUGUAUUGUGAGGUGAGCUGGGUGAUCAUCACCAAAUGAAUUAUUGGUGUUGAAAAUGAAAUCUGCAACUUUUGGAUCCAAAAUCUCAGUGUCUUAAUGAAACAAAAUGAGCAGCAGGAAGAGCAGGGACAAAAGGGAAUGGCUUUGUUUGUGUGGCUGACAUGAGGUGUGAUGGUA
ensembl:lncRNA